rnacentral:rRNA from 1 species
CCUACGGGGGACAGCAGUAGGGAAUCUUUCACAAUGGGCGAAAGCCUGAUGGAGCAACGCCGCGUGCAGGAUGAAGGCCUUCGGGUUGUAAACUGCUUUUAUAAGCGAGAAAUAUGAUGGUAACUUAUGAAUAAGGAUCGGCUAACUACGUGCCAGCAGCCGCGGUCAUACGUAGGAUCCGAGCAUUAUCCGGAGUGACUGGGUGUAAAGAGUUGCGUAGGUGGCAUAAUAAGUAGCUAGUGAAAUCUGGUGGCUCAACCAUUCAGACUAUUAGCUAAACUGUUAAGCUCGAGACCGUUAGGGGUAACUGGAAUUUCUAGUGUAGGAGUGAAAUCCGUAGAUAUUAGGAGGAACACCAAUAGCGUAGGCAGGUUGCUGGGACGGUUCUGACACUAAGGCACGAAAGCGUAGGGAGCAAACGGGAUUAGAUACCCUUGUAGUC